rnacentral:rRNA from 1 species
GAUGAACGCUGGCGGCGUGCCUAAUACAUGCAAGUCGAGCGAACGGACGAGAAGCUGGCGUCUCUGAUGUUAUCGGCGGACGGGUGAGUAACACGUGGAUAACCUACCUAUAAGACUGGGAUAACUUCGGGAAACCGGAGCUAAGACCGGAUAAUAUUUUGAACCGCAUGGUGCAAAAGUUAAAGACGGUCUUGCUUUCACUUAUAGAUGGAUCCGCGCUGCAUUAGCUAGUUGGUAAGGUAACGGCUUACCAAGGCAACGAUGCAUAGCCGACCCGAGAGGGUGAUCGCACACACUGGAACUGAGACACGGUCCAGACUCCUACGGGAGGAAGCAGUAGGGAAUCUUACGCAAUGGGCGAAAGCCUGACGGAGGAACGCCGCGUGAGUGAUGAAGGUCUUCGGAUCGUAAAACUCUGUUAUUCGGGAAGAACAUAUGUGUAAGUAACUGUGCACAUCUUGACGGUACCUAAUCAGAAAGCCACGGCUAACUCCGUG